rnacentral:rRNA from 1 species
GAUGAACGCUGGCGGCGUGCCUAAUACAUGCAAGUCGAGCGAACAGACGAGGAGCUUGCUCCUUUGAUGUUAGCGGCGGACGGGUGAGUAACACGUGGGUAACCUACCUAUAAGACUGGGAUAACUUCGGGAAACCGGAGCUAAUACCGGAUAAUAUUUUGAACCGCAUGGUUCGAUAGUGAAAGAUGGCUUUGCUGCCACUUAUAGAUGGACCUGCGCCGUAUUAGCUAGUUGGUAAGGUAACGGCUUACCAAGGCAACGAUACGUAGCCGACCUGAGAGGGUGAUCGGCCACACUGGAACGGAGACACGGUCCAGACUCCUACGGGAGGCAGCAGUAGGGAAUCUUCCGCAAUGGGCGAAAGCCUGACGGAGCAACGCCGCGUGAGUGAUGAAGGUCUUCGGAUCGUAAAACUCUGUUAUUAGGGAAGAACAAACGUGUAAGUAACUGUGCACAUCUUGACGGUACCUAAUCAGAAAGCCACGGCUAACUACGUG